rnacentral:rRNA from 1 species
GACGAACCGUGCGAACGUUAUUCGGAAUCACUGGGCUUAAAGCGCGUGUAGGCGGGCCGCCACGUCGGCUGCUGAAAUCCCCCGGCUCAACCGGGGAAGUGGCACCGAUACGAGCGGCCUGGAGGGGGGUAGGGGGGUCUGGAACUUCCGGUGGAGCGGUGAAAUGCGUUGAGAUCGGAAGGAACGCCCGUGGCGAAAGCGAGGCCCUGGACCCUUACUGACGCUGAGGCGCGAAAGCGUGGGUAGCAAACAGG